CCUACGGGAGGCAGCAGUGAGGAAUAUUGGUCAAUGGACGAGAGUCUGAACCAGCCAAGUAGCGUGAAGGAUGACUGCCCUAUGGGUUGUAAACUUCUUUUAUAUGGGAAUAAAGUGUUCCACGUGUGGGUUUUUGUAUGUACCUUAUGAAUAAGGAUCGGCUAACUCCGUGCCAGCAGCCGCGGUAAUACGGAGGAUCCGAGCGUUAUCCGGAUUUAUUGGGUUUAAAGGGAGCGUAGGUGGAUUGUUAAGUCAGUUGUGAAAGUUUGCGGCUCAACCGUAAAAUUGCAGUUGAAACUGGCAGUCUUGAGUACAGUAGAGGGAGGCGGAAUUCGUGGUGUAGCGGUGAAAUGCUUAGAUAUCACGAAGAACCCCGAUUGCGAAGGCAGCUCACUGGACUGCGACUGACACUGAUGCUCGAAAGUGUGGGUAUCAAACAGGAUUAGAUACCCCAGUAGUC
rnacentral:rRNA from 1 species